UACGUAGGGUGCGAGCGUUGUCCGGAAUUAUUGGGCGUAAAGAGCUCGUAGGCGGUUUGUCGCGUCUGCCGUGAAAGUCCGGGGCUCAACUCCGGAUCUGCGGUGGGUACGGGCAGACUAGAGUGCAGUAGGGGAGACUGGAAUUCCUGGUGUAGCGGUGAAAUGCGCAGAUAUCAGGAGGAACACCGGUGGCGAAGGCGGGUCUCUGGGCCGAUACUGACGCUGAGGAGCGAAAGCGUGGGGAGCGAACAGG
rnacentral:rRNA from 1 species